CUGCAGCCAAUUUAGACAACUGUAAUUUUUCCCAUGGGGGCCCAGUGUACAAUGGCAGCAAAGAGUAGGCUCCUUGGUAGUAUAUACAGCCUGUUGAUUGUAUGGGUUUCCCUAAGGGACUUUGGAGACAACU